AUGGGGGUGGAAGAACUACUGCGGAUUCGUGCGUCAGGAUCGUUUGGGGAGGUUGAUCUAGGGUUUGGAGUACCAUUCAUCAAGGGGGUUGUGUUGUCAUGGCUUCAAAACCUUCUUCAGAUUGUUCAUUGUUUUACUGCUUUGUUAGGUGUUGUUGAACUUCUGGAUAUUGGACAUUUAUGUAUAAGUAGAACUUCCUUUGGUGUAGAUGGAGCUUCAGAAGUUAAUACUGAUGCUCCAGGAUCUGAUGCGGCUAAAAGACCUAUUGUUCCUUUGACUGUGAUUGCUAAGGUUGCUUUGAGCCUGGAGAAAAAUUUAAGCCUCGAGGAUCUGGCUUCUGCAGCUCUUGCUUCACCAAAUGUAUCUGCAGAGGAGGGAGCUGUGAACACCAUCAAUGAUAUGUCAGAGACGCAGUCGCAGUCUGUUGAUGGCACUGAACCUGUCACGCAACCUGAGGAUGUGCCCCUUCAGCUUCUUCUAGAGGAUCAACGCAAGAGGAAGAAGCAAGAGAAAUUUGACAAGAAAAUGGCGGCCCACCUUCAAAAAGGUUCCGAUGUUCCUGAAUCUGUCGAUGUUGGUGAGCUCCCAGUUCAGCAUGGCUCUGUUGCUGAAGGAGACAUGACGUGUGCCACUAAUGGCAUGGUUGUCUUUGUGAAGAAGAAAAUCAAGAAGACCGCGGUGAGGAAGCAUAUAGUUAGUGAAGUUACUCCUUGGAGGAGUCCACGUGUUAUAAAGUCUGGAGAUCUCUAUGAAGUUGAAGGCCAAGCCCACGGUGGUACACCACGCCGUAGUCCUCGUGUGCUUGCCACUAUGACACCUACACCUUCUCUGCUUGGAGCUGGUGCAUCUGGUAGGGGCAAGAAAUGCGGCGUUAAGCGCAAGGUUGCACUGACAAAGGUUAACAAGGGUUGCAAGAAGCGUUCUCGUGUUAAUCCAGAGAACGAGGAUGAUGCUGAUUUCAACGCUGAUGACGAGGAUGACAAUGUUGAUGCUACUGCUGCUGAUCAGUAUCAGAUUGUGCCGCAGCCUGUGAUGAGGAAGAGAGGAGGCAAAGCAGUCGAAGAAGGUGUUGAAGGAGGAGAUGAUGCAAAACGUUUUAACAAGAUGGUUCGAUGCUCACUGAAAGAGGUUAAGUUGUGUGCAAAAUUGCUACAACUUAGGCACAAGACGAGGGUUAUCAAGGCUGGUUUUGGUUGUGUGUUUGACUUGAAGGAUGAUUCCAACAUUUCUCGUCCUUUGAUGGGCCACAUCUACACGAGGAUUGACCCUUCAACUAUGAUUCUGGACAUGGGUGAGGCAAACAAGGUUUUGCGUAUUACAAGUGAUGCUAUUCACCAUCUUUUUGGAUUCCCUGAAGGUGAUCGUACCCCUCCUAGGCCCUUAGAGGACAGGUUUGAUAGUGCUGUUAUGAGGCUGAAGGCCAAACUUGGCUACAAGAGGAGUGAUGACAUUAAGACAAAGGAUCCCCGGAAGAUCCUCGGGGUACUUGUGAAGGAUGAGACGAAGGAUGAUCUAGCUCUGCAGGUGCUUUACCUUAUUCUUUUCAUGAAGGUUAUUAUUCCUGGGACUAGCAAAGGAAAAUCUGUCAUAGGCUGUUGCAUUGCGCUGCUUCUUAUGUAUCUAGACUACCUUAUCAUUGGCAAGAAGCCUAUUGUUGACUUGAGAACUCCUCACAUCAAUUUCAUGGAUCAGGCCAAGCUAUAUGAGCUUUCUGCUGCUGACUUGGUUAAGAAGGGUGAUGAUGACCCAGCCAACUGGGUGUUUGGGAUACUGCCUGUGGCGUGUCUUCUGAGGGUUUGUUUGAUGCCGCCAACCUUUCCCUUGCUAGGGUUGAUGGACUUCUGGAAACUAUUUGUGGGGAGAUGGCCCAUGUUCCGACAACUGUUGAGCAUCUUAGUCGAGCCGAUGGGAUUCUUCCUAGCGGCCAUUGAUGCUGAGACUUCGGAGGAGGUUUUGUCUAUUGAAGCUAGAUUUCUUGCUGAGCUUCGUGAGAGCACUUCACACCUGCGUGCUAGCUUUGGGCUGUUCAAAGAAAUGCAGGAUGCUCGUUGCAAGCCUUUUGAAGAUGAGGCUAAUGUUGUUGCUAGACAGAUUGAGAGGCAAGAUCCUGUUCAUUUGGGCCGUGAAGGAGGCCACGAGGAGCAUACCGAAGAGGCUGUUGAUGUUGGUGCUAGGGUUGAGGAGGAUGUCUUGCCUGAAAGUGCAUCUGUCCCUGUGCAUGAAUCUUCUCCCGCUGUUGAUGAUGGUGCUAGGGUUGAGGAGGAUGUCUUGCCUAAAAGUGCAUCUGUCCCUGUGCGUGAAUCUGCCCCCGCAACUGAUUUUAUUGUUGAUGAGAAUGACGAUGCUAGUGUUCCUUCGGAGAAGGUUGCAGACAAGGCUGUAUCAGGCACCGGCUGCUCUGAUGUGCUGGACCGAACUGAACCUCAGUCGUCCAUUGGUGCUGGGAUCAAAGAUUAUGUUGCAAAACAACGAUGUGAAGCUACUAUUGAAGCUGUCACAAUGUCUUUUUCUCCUUGCAGAAUGCUUCGAUCUAAUGUAGCUGAGGCUGCAUUGUAUUGUCUACGUGCCAAAUACCAGGGAUCAGACAAACUUAUCCUACCAUAUUGGGUUUGUGACAAGAUUUUCAGAGGGCGGUUUGAUUCCCGUGUGAGGAAGUUCUUCUUGGCGAUUGGUCUAGAUAGCAUGGAUGCACAUGAUUCUAAUUCAAGGUUCCAGCUUCUCGAGUCCUACUAUGGACCAAAUGAUGAAUGUGUGGUACGCCUGUUUCGUUGGAUGACUUAUAACACCAAGAAGCUCUGGACCGAUGCCAGGAAUGACAGGGAGACACCCUUCAGUCCUCUUUCUAUUGACCAUUUCCCUUUGGAUUGGAUUGAUGUGCCCCAGCAGCAUAACAAAUAUGUGUUCCACUUUUCUCUCCAUCACUUCUACUUAAUCGUAGUUGUACGGGUUCUUGCAAACUAUUCCCAUGAAAAUAUCUCGGAUAUCAGGAAGACAUGGUUGUACUCAAUUGCAUCAUCUAACUUGUUUGGGAUAGAUUUCCAUGAUCUGUUUGGCUACUAUACUUUGGAGCCGUUGGACUUGACCGAUUACCACUACUCAUUCCUCAGGCAAAGCUACUACAGGUUUACCGUCCCUCAUGAGAAUGUGAUUGACCUCACAGGACGUGUCCUUUAUACUCUUUUCGUCCAAGGGCAGCAGAUGGAAGGAGACGUAAUGGACUUUCUCAUAAACUUGUGGAAGGAUACGACGGAGACCUCUGAGAUCUUUUCUAGUGCUGACAGGGUUGUACUGAGUCCCUACUUCAUACAGAUCAAAAGAUUUGUUGGGUUGCUGGAGGAGAAGUAUGGCAAGGCUGCGUACAAAGCGAGCAAGCAGCCAAACUGGGUGAAUAUUGCAAAGAGGCCGACUUUCAUUAAUGUUCCAAAGCAAGUGAAUAAUGAUUGUGGUUUCUUCGCUGUGAAGUUCCGCUCUACAUAUGAUGGCGAUGAACUUGUUGAAGAUUUUGGUGAUUUGGAAGCUGCUGCAGAUGACUGGAAGGCCGAGUUCAUGCACACUUUGGUCUUUAGCGAGAAGAAUAAAAUUUGGUUUUUGUUUGACAUGUACCUCUUCCUCUUCCUCUUCAUCUUCCUCUUCCUCUUUGUCUUCAUCUUCCUCUUCCUCUUCCUCUUCGUCUUCACCUUCAUCCUCCUCUUCCUCCUCGUCUUCAUCUUCUCUGAUGACAUCUUCGUCUUCGUGUUCGUCUUCCUCAUUCUCCUCUUCAUCUUCCACCACUUUCUUGUUGCUGCCUUUAGCUACAGCAGGAUGUCUUGCUUGGAUAAUCUUGAGCUGCCUUCUGAGGCAAUUGUGUUUUAG
rnacentral:rRNA from 1 species